UUCCGGUUGAUCCCGCCGGACCCGACUGCUAUUUGGGUGAGAAUAAGCCAUGCGAGUUGAAUGGGAUACCUAAAGUUCCCAUAGCAAACUGCUCAGUAACACAUGAUCGACUUACCCUAUAGAGAAAAAUAACCUCGGGAAACUGAGGAUAAUGUUUCAUAAUUGAAUUGGCUUGGAAAAGUUUUUCAAUGAAAAGGAUAAAAAAAAUGGUUUUUAUCUGCUAUAGGAUAGGAUCGUGUUCGAUUAUGGUUGUUGGUGAGAUAAUGGCUCACCAAGCCGAUAAUCGAUAGGGGCCGUGAGAGCGGGAGCCCCGAGAUGGGUACUGAGACAACGACCCAGGCCUUACGAGGCGCAGCAGGCGCGGAACCUCCGCAAUACACGAAAGUGUGACGGGGUUACCCAAAGUGUUCAAUAGAACUGUGGUAGGUGAGUAAUGUUCCCUACUAGAAAGGAGAGGGCAAGGCUGGUGCCAGCCGCCGCGGUAAAACCAGCUCUUCAAGUGGUCGGGAUAAUUAUUGGGCUUAAAGUGUCCGUAGCCGGUUUAGUAAGUUCCUGGUAAAAUCGGGUAGCUUAACUAUCUGCAUGCUAGGAAUACUGCUAUACUAGAGGGCGGGAGAGGUCUGAGGUACUACAGGGGUAGGGGUGAAAUCUUAUAAUCCUUGUAGGACCACCAGUGGCGAAGGCGUCAGACUGGAACGCGCCUGACGGUGAGGGACGAAAGCCAGGGGAGCGAACCGGAUUAGAUACCCGGGUAGUCCUGGCCGUAAACGAUGCAUACUAGGUGAUGGUACGGCCAUGAGCCGUAUCAGUGCCGUAGGGAAACCGUUAAGUGUGCCGCCUGGGAAGUACGGUCGCAAGGCUAAAACUUAAAGGAAUUGGCGGGGGAGCACCACAAAGGGUGAAGCCUGCGGUUCAAUUGGAUUCAACGCCGGGAAAUCACUAGUGCGGCC
rnacentral:rRNA from 1 species